AUGUGGGAUCUUGCUGACUGCCAACGCAAUAGCUAUUUCCUUUCUUUCUUACUAAUCCAACCCUGGGUAGGGGUAAUGAAGUCCAGGCUAGAUCAUUGCAUCUGCUCUGUUCUCAAGGAAAUGAUGUUGCCCCCUGGAGGACAGUUUGGGAAUUAUUGUGGGAAAUUUGUGUUUAUUUCCAGGUUGUCAAAUGGUUCCAAUGCGGACAGUAUUGCUCCCUCCAGAGCGUUUUGGAAGUUUGCAGGGACUUUUUUGGACAUCACAAUAAUGAAGGCUUGUUACUGGUGCUGGAAAACAGGGAUCUGCAACAUGACCUUGCACUUCACAAAGUUUCUAUUUAUAUUUAUGUGGCUGUUUUAUCUCUUCCACUGGAUUAUGACUGUCCUUAAAAGCAGAGGUAUGUCCAUUUUUAUCAUUAUUGUAUCCCUGGGGCCUGGCACAAAGUCAAAAACAUGGUAGGGAUAUGGUAGAUAUUUUUCAAGACUGUUUAGUGAAUAAUUCCUUUGCUGGUAAAAUACUUCCUGUCUUCCUUAUUAGCUGGUCAGCACAACACAGGGCAGAUCCAUGUUUCUUUUGUUCACCAUAUUCAUGUCCUUAUAUUGUCCUCUCCUAUAAUGAAUACAGCUGUGUAUGAUCCAUGGGAUUUUACAGAAGUGGCAGUGUGUGACUUCCAAGGCUGAGUUAUAAAAGACAUUGAUGGGGUGCCUCAUUUGGUAAGUGUCUGCUAUCGGCUCAGGUCAUGAUCCGGGAUCCUGGGGUCCAGUCCAGCACUGGGCUCCCUGCUCCGCAGAGAGUCGGCUUCUUCCUCUGCUGCUCCCCCUGCUCAUGCUCUCUCCCAAAUAAAUAUGUUAAAAAAAAAAUAAAAGACAUUUCUGCUUUCACCUUGCUCUCAUGGAUCACUCAGUUUGGGGGAAGCCAGCCCCCAUGUCAUGAGGACAUUCACAAAGCCUGGCGGUUGUGCCCAUGUGGAGUGGAAUUGAGGCUCCCAGCCAUCAGCCCAUGUCAACUUGCCAGCCAUAAGGAGUGAGUCACCUUGGGAAGGGAUCUUUUAUCACAAGCCAUCAGAUGACUGUAGUCCCAGCUGACAUCCGACCCCAUGCUCAUGAAAGACCUUGUGCCAGAACAGCCCAGAUAAGCUGCUCUGAAUCCCAGACCCACAGAAACCAUAAGAGAUAAUAACUAUUUAUUGUUAAGUCUCUAAUUUUUUACAUGAUUUGUUCACAUCUAUAACCAAGAGUAAGCAUUGGCCAAACAUUUUUUUUUUUUUUUGAGUGAUAUUGUGAUCUUGGAUGAAUUCCUACCCCUUUCUGAGCCCCAGAGUUGUGGUCUGUAAAAGGGGAUGAAAUAUCCAUCUCUGAGGUUCAUAGAGUAUGUACCUCAGGGGCAAGAUCGGAGCACAUGGUAGAAGCUUAAUAUAUCUCCAGAAGUAUACCUCCAAUGAAGCAUGUGAGCCACACCACCUGGGUUUGAAUCCCAGUUUCACUACUUCUAAGGUAAGACUUCGUUCAGGCUACUAAUACUUAACUUUCCUGGACCUUAGACCCCUCAGCUG
ensembl:lincRNA